GAGCGAACGCUGGCGGCAGGCUUAACACAUGCAAGUCGAGCGCCCGUAGCAAUACGGGAGCGGCAGACGGGUGAGUAACACGUGGGAACGUGCCUUUUGGUUCGGAACAACUGAGGGAAACUUCAGCUAAUACCGGAUAAGCCCUUACGGGGAAAGAUUUAUCGCCAAAAGAUCGGCCCGCGUCUGAUUAGCUAGUUGGUGGGGUAAUGGCCCACCAAGGCUACGAUCAGUAGCUGGUCUGAGAGGAUGAUCAGCCACACUGGGACUGAGACACGGCCCAGACUCCUACGGGAGGCAGCAGUGGGGAAUCUUGGACAAUGGGCGCAAGCCUGAUCCAGCCAUGCCGCGUGAGUGAUGAAGG
rnacentral:rRNA from 1 species